GAUGAAGAACGUAGCGAAAUGCGAUACGUAAUGUGAAUUGCAGAAUUCAGUGAAUCAUCGAAUCUUUGAACGCAUAUUGCGCUCUCUGGUAUUCCGGAGAGCAUGCUUGUUUGAGUAUCAGUAAACACCUCAACUUCCAUAUCUUUUUUGAAAUGGGAGUUGGACUUGAGUGAUCCCAACGCUUGUCCUCACCGAAAAGUGGCGGGUUACUUGAAAUGCAGGUGCAGCUGGACUUUUCUCUGAGCUAUAAGCAUAUCUAUUUAGUCUGCCUAAAAAACAGAUUAUUACCUUUGCUGCAGCUAACAUAAAGGAGAUUAGUUCUUGUGCUGACUGAUGCAGGAUUCACAAAGACAGGCUUCGGCCGACUUUGUAAACUCGAUCUCAAAUCAAGUAAGACUACCCGCUGAACUUAAGCAUAUCAAUAAGCGGAGGA
rnacentral:misc_RNA from 1 species